rnacentral:lncRNA from 1 species
GGCAGCCCUCAGGUGGGAGCGAGUGGGAACGGACAGAGGUCUGGACCUGGGCCCUGCAGGUGGCUGGACCGCUGACGAUGAGGUCCGAGAGGCACACAGGAGUACCAUCUAAGGAUGAGACAGAAGUGAUGGAUGUACCAGUUCUGGGAGUGGUUUCAGUUGGUCUCUUUUGCUGUUGAGAAGAAAAUUCUUAUGCUACCCACUGGUCUCAGGAGGUGGAUGAGGGAUAUGCAGAAUUAAGUCACCAGCCAAGACCAGCCCCAAUCAGCCAACCCUAAGCCAAUUCCCAAAGGAAUGAGUAAGCCCAGCCAAGAUCAGCAGAGGCAUCCACUGAGCCCAGCCUCCGUCAGCCAAACUAUGACAAUCUGCAGCUCAUAAAAACACAUGAUUGUUUGAAGCCACUAAGUUCUAGGAUGGUUUGUUACAUAGGUUUUUUUUUGUGGCAAUUGCUAAUUGG